AAAAAAAAAAAAAAAACGGCACCUCAAAACCAAAAGGAAGGGGAAAAUUCCCUCCGUCGUUGAAGGACCUCAUAUGAUAACACAGUCACUUUCUUUUUUUUCCUGUCUGCCUGGAUUUUGUUUUCUUUGUGAUGCUUACUCUCUCUUUCAAGUGUGCAGCUGUUGUGCUCUUGCAGUGGAAAUGCCGUGAAACACGCGUGUCGUCUUGGAGCACAUCCCACUCUCAAAAAAAUGAUUCCGAAGAUCAUCGACUCACACAUUAUGCACCCUCUUUCUUCUUCUACCAACGAGUUGAGACGCAAAAAAGAAAUUCAUUUAUUUUUGUUUACGUUGAGUUCACGCCCAUCCC
rnacentral:ribozyme from 1 species